rnacentral:rRNA from 1 species
UACGUAGGGUGCGAGCGUUGUCCGGAUUUAUUGGGCGUAAAGAGCUCGUAGGUGGCCUCAUAAGUCCGCUGUGAAAGUCAAAGGCUCAACCUUUGAAAGCCGGUGGAUACUGUGAGGCUAGAGUACGGAAGAGGCGAGUGGAAUUCCACGUGUAGCAGUGAAAUGCGUAGAGAUGUGGAGGAAUACCGAUGGCGAAGGCAGCCCCCUGGGAUGAUACUGACGCUCAUGCACGAAAGCGUGGGGAGCAAACAGG